UAANNNNAUUUUUGUUGUUGAUAUUUUGUGUGAUAUUAGUAGUUAGUAAUUCGACAAGUUGUAGUGGAUUGUUGGAAGUUAGAAUAGAGAUUGUAUGAAUAUGAUAGACACUUAGUGGGGCUACGUCCGUAUAGAAUGUUAAAGUAAAAAGUGCAUUUAUAACAUUAUAGUUCUGAUAGCUAUUAAAUUGAAGUCUUCGAUGACGGAAGGCAUAUAUAUAAGAAAAAAAAUAUAUAAAUAGAAAUUGGUUAAUGGCUUUGAUAAAUCGGAAUGUAAAAAUAUAUAUAAUAUUAAUAAUAUAAAGAUAAGAAUGCGUGGGAUUAUUUAGUAAUGAAUCGAGUACAUAAAUACACGUAAUCAGAAUGUUAUGUUUAUUUAUGUACAGCUAUGACUGCUUAAUUAUUAGAUUAGGUUAUAUUAUAAUGCAUAAUGGGGAUGAUAUAUUGGAAGUUAGAUUUAAGAUAGAAUUUAUGGCAUAGUUAAAGGUUCAGGUCAAAAGGGACGAAAAUCAAAAACGAUAGUUUUAGUAUGGAGAACAAUGUAGCGCGACAUAUAAACGGACAUAUACAACAGUACUUUUUACGAUGCGUAUAAAUCGCAUGCGUCGGUUCUUAUGGCUGUCCAACAUAUUUCUUUACAUAUUUUGUUUUAUUAGCAAGCUAUAUUAAAAUAGUAAGAGUGAAAUAGGUAUGGGUGUAGUCUCUAGUUUCUAAUUUAAUUUUGGUUGGGUUUUGUGCGUUUCUCUAAGUGUAGUUAAAAUUUAUUUCACCUUAAAAAAUUACAUAUUAAGGUAAACUAAUCAUCAUUUGAUAGUACAUAGCCAGACGUAAAUUCGAAUUGAUUUGACUAUUGGCUCCCACAAUCGGUGGAGCAUGUGGUUUAAUUCGAUGCAACGCGAAGAUCCUUACCUGGUCUUGACAUCCACGGAAGUUUUCAGAGAUGAGAAUGCGCAUUCGGUAACCGUGAGACAGCUGCUGCAUGGCUGUCGUCAGCUCGUGUUGUGAAAUGUUGGGUUAAGUCUCGCAACGAGCGCAACCCUUAUCCUUUGUUGCCAGCGGUCCGGCCGUGGAACUCAAAGGAGACUGUCAGUGAUAAACUGGAGGAAGGUGGGGAUGACGUCAAGUCAUCAUGGCCCUUACGACCAGGGCUACACACGUGCUACAAUGGCGCAUACAAAGAGAAGCGACCUCGCGAGAGCAAGCGGACCUCAUAAAGUGCGUCGUAGUCUGGAUUGGAGUCUGCAACUCGACUCCAUGAAGUCGGAAUCGCUAGUAAUCAUUAUCUAUUAUCCCUUGGGUUUUUCCCCCCU
rnacentral:rRNA from 1 species